AGUGAACGCUGGCGGUAGGCCUAACACAUGCCAGUCGAACGGCAGCACAGUAAGAGCUUGCUCUUACGGGUGGCGAGUGGCGGACGGGUGAGGAAUACAUCGGAAUCUACUUUUUCGUGGGGGAUAACGUAGGGAAACUUACGCUAAUACCGCAUACGACCUACGGGUGAAAGCAGGGGAUCUUCGGACCUUGCGCGAUUGAAUGAGCCGAUGUCGGAUUAGCUAGUUGGCGGGGUAAAGGCCCACCAAGGCGACGAUCCGUAGCUGGUCUGAGAGGAUGAUCAGCCACACUGGAACUGAGACACGGUCCAGACUCCUACGGGAGGCAGCAGUGGGGAAUAUUGGACAAUGGGCGCAAGCCUGAUCCAGCCAUACCGCGUGGGUGAAGAAGGCCUUCGGGUUGUAAAGCCCUUUUGUUGGGAAAGAAAAGCAGCAGGUUAAUACCCCGCUGUUCUGACGGUUCCCAAAGAAUAAGCACCGGCUAACUUCGUG
rnacentral:rRNA from 1 species